AAGAAAACUAAAAAAAAAGAAGCUCUAGAUGGUAGGAGGCCGUUCUGGAAAGUUCUGGCUGUCGGGGGAAGCCUAAGCUUCUGCUCAGGAUUCAGAGAGGGCCAGGCAGGCAGAGGGUAUAUUGGGACAUGGGGCUAAAGCCAGGUCAGGGGUCAGAGGGAAGGAGAUGCCAAGCUGCAGAGACAAGGCGAGCAAGCCAGCCUCGGUCAGCAGGCCUCCUGCUCUCUUGCUGCAGCGUCUCAAACGAAUCCAGCCUGGGGCUGACUCCAGGGCAGCAGCUGUUUAAUGAUUCCCUUAUUAAGUCAUGUAAGAGGCACUUGGAGGGGGCUGUGGUAGGCAGAGUAAUGACCCCCUCCGAAAUGUCCACAUCCUAAUCCUCAGGGCCCAUAAAUAUGUUAGUUGGCCCAGCAAAAGGGAUUGUGCAGAUGUGAUUAAGUUAAAGACCUUGAGAUGGGGAGAUUAUCCUGGAUUAUCCGGGCGGGCCCAGUGUAAUCACAGGGGUCCUUAUAAGGGAAAGAGGGAGGCAGGAGAGCCAGAGAAGGAGGUGUGACAGCCGCAGCAGGGGUCGGAAUGAUGCCAUUGCGAGCUGGAAUGAGGCCACAAGCCAUGGAAUAUGGGCCGCCUCUAGAAUCUGGGAAAGGCAAGGAAGUGGCGGGUCCCCAAAGCCUCCAAAAGGAAUGAAGCCCUGCUGACACCUGAUUUUGGCUCAGCAAAACCCAUUUGAGAUGUCUGACCUCCAAAAGUAAGUUAAUACAUCUGUGCUGUUUUAAGCCAUUAUGUUACGCAGCAAUAGGACACUAAUAAGAGCAGUCUUUCAGGGAAGGCUGACCCAAACAACUUUUAGGAAUCAGAGGGAGAGGCCUCUGUAUGGUCCGGCCACUCAAGAUGGCUAUCCUCUUGCCCUCUGUCCCUUCCUGCUUCACCUCCCCUCUACUCACACGCCUAUCCAAUCCUCUUAAUCACAGGGCUUAAUCAGUAACUAGGCUUGCCCCCGCCCCAGCCAAUGGUUUCCCUGGCAACUGAUGAGCCAGCCCGACGUAUAUAUAAAUGGUAGCCCACCCACCCCCGUAGGGAGGCUUGCUGACCUGUGGUCUGCCAUGCCGGACGGGGGUGUUGCUCCAGGACCUUUUGCUUCUGACUGGGAGGCUCCUGGGCAUUCAAGGGCAUGGGACUCCCAGAGGCGACCUCUGGAGUGAAUGCAAGGGCCUUGUGAGUUCCAGUGCACCCUGGCUCUAUCCGGGACCCUGCAGCGUGGUGCUGAGAUGCGCAAGGCUCUGGAGAAGAGACGCCCAUUGCAAAGCUGGUCAACAGCUCCCGUGCCAGUGGCAGCCGAUGCUGGUGCCACCACUGGCCCCACUCUCUAAGAAAAGGUCGGGUCCAGUCUACCUUCUCGGCUUCUCAAACCCACUGCUCCAGCCCCGCGCCAUGCUGGUGGCUCAGAUCCUUUUCGUCUCUCCUUGGGAUGUCUCACCAGUCCCCCCACCCCACCGCAGCAGUGGUUGGGUCCCAGUGCUUCUUGAAUCCCUUCAGUGGUUUCCCCUCGGGAGAGAGGCCCAACUUCUUGCCCGCCCCCCUCCUCAGCUUCAUUUCCUCCUGUGUCUCUCAUGCCUCCCACUGGCCGUUGCAUAUGCUGCUCCCUAUGCAGGAAGUCCUCUGCCCUCUCUUUCUCUGCCACAAUAAUUCCUUUGAGGCUCGUUUUGGCAUAGCCCUUCACCCAGCACUAAUUGCCAGUAGGAUGGUGGGUCUUUUCCAUUAGACUGGGAGCACCCUGAGGGCAGUGACUAGAUCUUAGGCAUCUUUGUAUCUUUCACAUCUGGCCUAGAGCUCUGCACUGAGUAGGUACUUGGUGUUUGCUAGUUGAGUGGGCAAAGGAACAAAUAGCCAGAUUACUUACAGGAGCCAUAUCCCACUGCAAACAGAUCAUUAUACUUUGGAUUCCUGCAAAGGAAAUAAGAACCCAUUGGCUCAGGAAAUGGACAUGGCUCUCCCGUGAACACUGGUGCCUUAACCACGCUGCAUACAUCUACUGUUGAGCUUAGAGACCUAUGAUGAUCCCCUAAGAGUCCCAGUUUCAUUUUUUUCCAACAAGCUGGGGGUCCUUCAAGGGCCAGCAGGUGCUCAGGGACUCUAGGUUUUUUGCAAUGUCUGUACUCACCAGCAGAGGGCGGUGACGGCCAGCCGCUUGGCUUUGUCAUUUUGGAACUUCCAGAGAGGCAGCAGCGUACCCUCCUGGUCCCGGUAUUCAUCAGCAACAUCCUCGUAGUACUUAAAAUCUUAAACACACACAGGCUGAGUCAGCCCUGGGACUGCCACUUUCUGUGUGGACCUCCUUGGCCCAAACAAUUAACCUCUUUAUAUUUUAGAGCGGGAAUAGUAAUAGUACCUAUCUCAAAGGACAGGUGUGAGGAUGAAUUGCUAAUAUAUGUAAAGUACUUAGAAAAAUCCCUGGCACACAGUAAGCUCUCUAUAACAUCGUUGUUACUGUCAUCGUUGUUUUUGGAGGUAAAUUCCCUGAAAGUAGCUAGGUCCACAGGGAUAAAGUUCCAGGUUUGCCUGUCUUCAUAACCUCACCUAGCUCCACUAUAGUAAGCUGCCUGGGCUCCUUCAUGGCUUCUCUGAACUCAGAUUCAUCUCCUGCCCUAAACUGUUGCUACCUCUGGAGUUCCCUUUGUGGCACGGCAGAAACGAAUCUGGCCAGUAUCCAUGAGAAUGCGGGUUCGAUACCUGACUCUGCUCAGUGAGUCAGGGAUCUGGUGUGUUGCCAUGAGCUGUGGUGUAGGUUGCAUGUGCGGCUUGGAUCCCUUGUGGCUCUGGCUGUGGCUGACAGCUGCGGCUCUGAUUCAACCCCAUAUGCCUCGGGUGAGACCUUCAAAAGCAAAAAGAAAAAAAAAAGUUUUCUCCCUUUCAUUUCCCCUAACUUAAGGUAGAAGUCCCAUCCAUCCAUUUGUCUCAACCAGAAAUCUAGGUGACCCUUGACUGGCCUCCUUCCGUCUUCUCUCAAGUUUUCUUUGUGAUCACUUUUUUCAUCCAUUCACUUCUCUCCAAAUCCAUAGCCA